UACAGCCCUGUGAUCUUUCCAG
rnacentral:miRNA from 1 species